rnacentral:lncRNA from 1 species
UCUCUUCUUCACUAUCAUUAAAGUGUGCGCCUUUAAUUGAAUCACCAUCAUCACUACUAACAUCUUCAUCAUCACUGUCUGCUUCACCAACAUUGCCUUCAACUUAAUCCGCCACUACACCCUUUCCCUUUCGUUCCCCGAUAACAUCAGCAACAUUUAUAGCAUUUCCUAAAUUCACCUUAGGUUCAACAUCACAGUUCUUAUCACGAGCAUAAUCAGACAUUAAGGUUGCA